CGUCUGAAUCUGCCUUUAGCACUAGCGGUAGAGUACUUAGUGCACACCGUAGUUCGCUUGCUCCAAAUAUGGCCGAGGCCCUGAUGUGCAUGCAAGCUUGGUCUCGCGCCGACAUGUUAGGGGAUUGCAAUUCUACUCUGUUUGCGGAGUUCCAGUCUGUUCUUGAUGAUGAAGAAGAACCAAUGGAAGAAGACGUGUCGAUCUUGACCGAAGAAUAAACGAAUUGAAGCUUCCUGGCUAGCCGCUGCUUGGUCCUUGCUGCCAGUUUUCCUGGGCGUUGGGAGUGACGUUGAUCAAGGGUGCUGACUUGCUGUUGGCUGACGUGCUACUUGCUAGCUAGGUUGCUUGCUGCAUUGCUGGGCAUUGCUAAUUGCUAAUUGCUACUUGGCUACUUGCUAUGGCUGUAAGCCUGUAACUUAUUUGUGUUUGUGUAAGGCACUAAGGCUACGGCUGUUAUUAUUUUAGCAGAUUGUGCAAGGCUGCUACUUAUUUGUCACCUCCUAGUUUGCUGAUAUCUUGGGAAGUAUUUGUAUGACUACUUAUAUCUAUUUGUGGUGCAACUGUUGUGAUUGGAAAUCUAAAAAAUAUGUUGUUUGA